GCUACAGGCUUAACACAUGCAAGGUCAGGGGCAGCAUGGUCUUAGCUUGCUAAGGCCGAUGGCGACCGGCGCACGGGUGAGUAACACGUAUCCAACCUGCCGUCUACUCUUGGACAGCAUUCUGAAAGGAAGAUUAAUACAAGAUGGCAUCAUGAGUCCGCAUGUUCACAUGAUUAAAGGUAUUCCGGUAGACGAUGGGGAUGCGUUCCAUUAGAUAGGUAGGCGGGGUAACGGCCCACCUAGUCUUCGAUGGAUAGGGGUUCUGAGAGGAAGGUCCCCCACAUUGGAACUGAGACACGGUCCAAACUCCUACGGGAGGCAGCAGUGGGGAAUAUUGGGCAAUGGGCGCAAGCCUGACCCAGCAACGCCGCGUGAAGGAAGAAGGCUUUCGGGUUGUAAACUGCUUUUGUCAGGGACGAAAAGGAUCGUGAUAAUACCAUGGUCUGCUGACGGUACCUGAAGAAUAAGCACCGGCUAACUACGUG
rnacentral:rRNA from 1 species